AGCGAACGCUGGCGGCAGGCCUAACACAUGCAAGUCGAACGAACCUUUCGGGGUUAGUGGCGGACGGGUGAGUAACACGUGGGAACGUGCCUUUAGGUUCGGAAUAACUCAGGGAAACUUGUGCUAAUACCGAAUGUGCCCUUCGGGGGAAAGAUUUAUCGCCUUUAGAGCGGCCCGCGUCUGAUUAGCUAGUUGGUUGAGGUAAUGGCUCACAAGGGCGACGAUCAGUAGCUGGUCUGAGAGGAUGAUCAGCCACAUUGGGACUGGGACACGGCCCAAACCCCGACGGGAGGCAGCAGUGGGGAAUCUUGCGCAAUGGGCGAAAGCCGGACGCAGCCAUGCCGCGGGAAUGAUGAGGGUCUUAGGAUUGUAAAAUUCUUUCACCGGGGACGAUAAUGACGGUACCCGGAGAAGAAGCCCCGGCAAACUUCGU
rnacentral:rRNA from 1 species